UACACUCCUACGGGAGGCAGCAGUGGGGAAUUUUGGACAAUGGGCGAAAGCCUGAUCCAGCCAUGCCGCGUGCAGGAUGAAGGCCUUCGGGUUGUAAACUGCUUUUGUACGGAACGAAACGGCCUUUUCUAAUAAAGAGGGCUAAUGACGGUACCGUAAGAAUAAGCACCGGCUAACUACGUGCCAGCAGCCGCGGUAAUACGUAGGGUGCAAGCGUUAAUCGGAAUUACUGGGCGUAAAGCGUGCGCAGGCGGUUAUGUAAGACAGUUGUGAAAUCCCCGGGCUCAACCUGGGAACUGCAUCUGUGACUGCAUAGCUAGAGUACGGUAGAGGGGGAUGGAAUUCCGCGUGUAGCAGUGAAAUGCGUAGAUAUGCGGAGGAACACCGAUGGCGAAGGCAAUCCCCUGGACCUGUACUGACGCUCAUGCACGAAAGCGUGGGGAGCAAACAGGAUUAGAAACCCGAGUAGUCCCAU
rnacentral:rRNA from 1 species